rnacentral:lncRNA from 1 species
GCAUUAUCCGCUAUUGAUUGAAUUUCAGUCUUUCAGAGACAUCUUGGUGACACGACGGAGAGCCUGUCUACGUAACUGGUUUCAAGAACCAGCCUUCAUCAAACAUGAAAUUAUGACGAUGAGGGAUGUGAGAUGAGUGAGGUUAGUGAGCAGCUGACAGAUAUCACUUGUGUGAUCUGAGUCACAUGCACCAACGAGACUGACCGAAUAUCAAACGAGAGUCACCCAGGCGACUCCAGACUAACUCUGACUUGAAGUGAACAAAAGUCUCCAGGCUCCAGACAGGAAGUGGCCUAUUGUGGACAGAAGCAGAUCAGUGAGUGUGGACAGCUUGUAUUGGUCGUGUAGAAGGGCUGGACAGCCUCAGGGUAAGGCCUCACACCACAUGCUGCUCGAUCUCUGUUGGUCCUGGCCUGUCCUCCCUUCUCGUAAUAGACUCCUCUCCAGUC